GAUGAACGCUGGCGGCGUGCUUAACACAUGCAAGUCGAACGAAGCACUCAGAUCUCUUCGGAGUGAUGAGUGACUGAGUGGCGGACGGGUGAGUAACGCGUGGGUAACCUGCCUUGUACAGGGGGACAACAGUUGGAAACGACUGCUAAUACCGCAUAAGCGCACAGCUUCGCAUGAAGCAGUGUGAAAAGCUGAGGCGGUACAAGAUGGACCCGCGUUGGAUUAGCUAGUUGGUGGGGUAACGGCCUACCAAGGCGACGAUCCAUAGCCGACCUGAGAGGGUGAUCGGCCACAUUGGGACUGAGACACGGCCCAAACUCCUACGGGAGGCAGCAGUGGGGAAUAUUGCACAAUGGGCGAAAGCCUGAUGCAGCGACGCCGCGUGAGCGAUGAAGUAUUUCGGUAUGUAAAGCUCUAUCAGCAGGGAAGAAAAUGACGGUACCUGACUAAGAAGCUCCGGCUAAAUACGUGCCAGCCGCCGCGGUAAUAC
rnacentral:rRNA from 1 species